AAUCAACGCUGGCGGCGUGCCUAACACAUGCAAGUCGCGCGCGAAAGGGGGGCAACCCCCGAGUAAAGCGGCGAACGGGUGAGUAACACGUGGGUAAUCUACCUUCGAGUGGGGAACAACAUCGGGAAACUGGUGCUAAUUCCGCAUGACAUCGUCGGGGCUUCGGUUCCGACGCUCAAAGCUGGGGAUCGUAAGACCUAGCGCUUGAAGAUGAGCCCGCGUCCGAUUAGCUAGUUGGCGGGGUAAUAGCCCACCAAGCUCCGAUCGGUAGCCGGCCUGAGAGGGGCGGACGGCCACACUGGAACUGAGACACGGUCCAGACUCCUACGGGAGGCAGCAGUGGGGAAUUUUUCGCAAUGGGGGCAACCCUGACGAAGCAACGCCGCGUGGGGAUGAAGGUCUUCGGAUUGUAAACCCCUGUCGACCGGGACGAAUGUAGAACGGCCUAAUACGCCGAGCUAUUGACUGUACCGGUGGAGGAAGCCACGGCUAACUCUGUGCC
rnacentral:rRNA from 1 species